GGCCGCUUGCUUGGCUGGCUGAUAAGCCGGCUUCAUAGAGUGCUUUCAGAGAAAAAUCGCAAAGAGGGUUUAUUGUCACGCAAGAGGACAGUCCACCAUCCUUACGACUCCCCAAAGGCUCAGGCGGGGACUCAGAGACCCUAGCCUUGCAGUGCCAUGGAUGUUUAAUAGUCUGCAUUGUCCUGAUGACUGGCGCUCCUUAUGGCCAAGCGUGGAAGCCUACACUAAGGACCUGUCAUCAUAACAAAUGCACUCCAUACAAGAGGCUACGAUCACAUAGGAAUGUGAUAGGUAAUGGGGAAGAGGCUGGACACUCCCCUGGAGAGGAGGGCCUGGUCAAGGGUCACAGGCCCGUCCCUCCCCACUGGGCUGCUGCGCACUAACCACUUUCCUCCCGGUCCCUCUCCCCGCCCCCAGCACUCUGCUCUGCCUCCCUUAAACUGUGGGACGAGCUCACAGAAGCUUCCAGAGACCCUGCUCAGCCUGCUGGACUGAAGUCGCCCCCAUCCCUCCUCCACGUUCACCGAGUUAACUGGGAACCUGCGCAGCAGAGCAUCGGCACGCCGCACCACUGUGCCAGUUCUACUGUCGCAUUGUCCCUGUUCCCACUCAACUGUGUUGAAAUAAAUGGGCUGUAUAUCUGCCACUAUAUGCGAAAAGAGGAAGAAGCAGGAUGGUGUGACCUCCGCUGCUCGCUCCCCAUUUCACCAGGCUGAAGAACCCUUCUGACAGCUGACAACCCCACAAAGCUUCCUGUCCGAGUCUGGUACACGCUGCUCAGCAGGCCUACAUCCAUGGAUCUGGUCAACAACCGCGGCCUCAACUUGAUCCUCAAUUUCCUGCUUAUUGUGGUGGUGUUGAUUCUCAUGCUCAUCCUGGUCAAGCUCAUGUAACUGUGACUCCGCACUCCUGCCAAGCUGCCGCCAUGGUGGAAUUCACUGGGAGAGGGACCUGAAAAUCAGAGUGUGAUGCUGGACCUCUUCCACCAGGAGGAGCUAGAGACAAUUGCUGCCAUGGCUUGUUCAUUAUCUCCACUGUGUCUCUCAGAUUCAGCAAAAGGUCCCUUUGUUGGGUAUCUUUUUUUCUAAAUAGCACCACACUACAGUAAUCAUGCUCACUAUUGGUAGUAUUUAAUAAUGUAAGCCAUAUAAGUUAAUGACUUUAUUAAAUCACAGAUUCCCAGGCCACAUGAAAUCCUUGGAUUUGUCUCCCUCUAGUGGCAGUAAAUCACAUCACACUUGUUUUCGUUAAAAAAAACAUGGGGGUAAAUCUUAAUACGACUGGAUAGUAUCAUACCAAGCUGUUUUUGGAAAUAUUUUUAAAAAGAUAAGCCAGCAAAUAUUCUGCAGUAAUCAACAGGACAUGCAAAAUGGGUGACUACUAAGAUGUUUCUGUAUUUAAGUCAAAACACGAAGUUGCUUUAAAAAAAGGUUUAAAUACUGACUUCUGUUUUACUUUUAAAGUAAAAAGCCAUGUGAAAAUAUUUACCAAACGAUAUACGUUCUGCAUCUGUAGCAACAUCCCUUUAAUUUCUUACAAGCCACGCGUAAUUAAAGGGUGAUUUGUUUUGGUUAGGCAAUGUUCUCAUACCAGUGGUCUGUGUGCACAUGCUGUGAGAUGUUGCUGAUUCAGAGCGUGUGUGUAUACCAUUCUGUUUAAAGCUUAUGAGAAAAAUCCAACUCAGGUUUGACUAGACCCUAUGUCCUCCGCCAUGAACAGUUGCAUAUCCUGCCACUGUAGCCGUAAAGAGAAAGAAGCAGGAUGGUGUGACCUCCGCUGCUCGCCUCACAUUUCACCAGGCUGAAGCACACCUCUGACAGCUGGACCAUCGCCUGCCGGAUCCCUGACAAUCUCACAACUGAAAGCUUCCCGUCCGAGUCUGGUACAUGCUGCUCAGCAGGCUCACAUCCAUGGAUCUGGCAGUGGUAGUGCAGGCACAAGGAAGACGUCCCGACAAACCCAUCGAUAAAUCAGGAGUGCCUCUUACACAGCGGUAAAUGUGUGCCCAGCCACUGAUUCCCCCAACUGCUUUUAGCACACUAAAUACAUAAAAGGCACAAGUUAUUUCUUGUUUGCUGGCACGCCAUCAUUGAUCUGUUAUGUCUUGUGAAACAUUUGUAAUAGUAAUAAAAUACUAGUCCCCACA